GGGAAAUGUUCCAGGUCUUAUUUUGCCUCAAAGAUAAAUUAUUCCAAAAGCACUAAUAGCAAACAUUCACCAUGCCCUAAUUAUCUGUCAUACUACAGCAAGCACUUUCACACGUUUUUGCACAUGACCCUCGUACCACCUCAUGGUGAAGGUCCGUAUGUGCUAUUAUUUGCAUUUUACCAAUGUGGAAACUGAGGUUCAGAGAUGAGCUAACUUGUUUGAGGUCACACUGCUGGUAAGUGGGUGAGCUGGGAUUUGAGCGAAGGCAGCUUGGUUUUUCUGCACCCAAAGUCACAUUUCAGCAUGAGCAAAAAUUACUGCUCAUUUUAGAAGAAUCCAGGAAAUGUAAAUCGGGAGAGAGGGGUCGCCUUGGAACACAAAGCAAAAGGACCUCAGAAGGUAUCAAGGCAGAAAAUGGUCUUCCUCCUCUUGAAACUUCCAUUCUACAGCAUGUACUCCCCUCCAACUUUGGAAACCCACAGCCUGCUAAUUCACUUUCCAGAUCCCAUGUAGCUGUGUCUCUGGGCGAUCAUAACUUGAUGGAGUCAGCUGACAAGGUCUGCAAGACUCUUGGAAAGGUAUCAUUAAUUCGAAAUGAUGCCAAGUGUCACUGGGGAGUCCAUUUGCAAACACUCUCCUCCUUUCUUGCCAAAGAGCAAGCGUUCCUGUAGCUACCAGCUCCUUUCCACAUCACCUUUCUGUGCCAGGCUCCUCCAGCCUGUUGGGUCUGAUGCUCCUCUUCCAGCUGUCUAUGCUGAUGAAGAACAAACCAACAGUAACCCACAGAGGUAAUACUGGGUCUGCUGUUGUCAUCAAAAGCAGCCAGCUUUCCCGAAAGUUGCUUAGCAUCUGAUAGUGUGCAUCCCAAUAUCCCACAAAGUAGCUCUAAGCCAGUAAACAAGUUCAACCUACAUUGAGCACUCACUUUGGAUCAGAUAGCGUACAUGAUAAAGUACAGUGCCUGUCCCUCCCCCAAAUUAUAAAUGUACUGCAGGAAAAGACUACUGGAGAAAUGCUACAACAUAAGGGUAAUUAAAUACAUGCUAAAUGAGUGAGCACCAUUUAAAUUAUGGCUGGAACACAUUUUGAACCAUUAAUUUGUAUCUAUUUUUCAUCUAUUUUUCUCCUUUCCUGUCUUCUCUCCUCAAGCAAGUAGCCAAUCAGCCUUGCCUUCAUUGCCUCAGAGAUGGUCCACUGCAGAGAGAAAGAAGAAGUUACUGGCAAGGCUCCCUGGCUUUGGUAUUCCAAAAGCUGAUGCCCAGAGUUGAAUCAAUAUGGUUUGUGGAGAACAAAGGGGCAAAAGAAGAACUGGAUGGAGGAAGAGGCAAAGUGAACUGGAGAAAGUCAAAGUAGAGAUUUCUCCCAGAACAGAAAAAAAUACCCCGGGGCUAGGGGCAGAAUGAGAGCAUGAGACACCAAGAGAGACACAAGACAGAGAGACCGAGGCUUAGACUGCUGGGUGCUUAGGCAAAGAGGACUGAACCUCAUGAUUCUUGUCUCAAUAAGACUUCCACAAGGCAGUGGCUAUGUUGUAUGUCUAGGCAAAUACAGGCAAAUUGUUUUUCUGCAAAAAUAAUUCUCAGGUCUCCAGUGUGCCCACAGAGAGCAGCCAGUCCCAGUGUUGCCAUAUGGAGGAGGUAAGGGGAAACACGGAGGUAACUUGUUUGGUUUCUGCCUUACUUUGACACUGUACAAAUCCCUAGAACAAUGGCCCAGACAGGGUGGAACCCGAGCAAUUCUACCACAAUUUCCUGGUGGCCUGGACGGAUGGGGUGAAGUUGCCAGAGACAAUCUAGGAUGCUCUGUCCUGGGUGUCCUGUGUUUUUAUUCACUAAGUCUGGCAACCCUAUAUUGGGCUUGAAGUAGAAACUAAGAUGACAAAAAUGAUGUGGACAAAAAUUCUUAUCUGAGUUUGCAGAACUGAAAUGGUGCACUGUGAUUUAUACUCAUUCACAUAUAACACCUUUUAUUUUUAGAGCACGUUAUAGUUUAUAAGGUUCCUUCACAUAUACUGUAUCAUUUGACCUUCCCAAUAACCUGGGGAGAUGAGAAAUGUGGGUCUGAUUUUCCCAGAAAAAGAUAACAGGGAUCAGGGAAGCUAAGUCUGCCGAAGACUUGCUAAGUCCACAUGGGCCAAGGCUAUAACCCAAACUGGCAUUCAGCUCCCAUGAUGCUCUGCUCUGGGACCCUGCACUGCCCCCCGAGUCCCAGCCUGGCCCAGGCUCCAGCAUUCCAGACAUGACAGCACUCCAAUCAGUUCCAAAAUGCCUCUCACGGGCUUUUGUGAAGCAUGAAGUUUCAGAGGUGUCUGAUUCCAGAUGAUCUCUCUCUGGUUUGCAGAAGGGCCAGAGCUAGAAAAUGGUUUUACUUGGUGAGGUGUCCAUAGUGGAGUCUCUGUCAUCUGUGGGUUCCAGGAUGACAAGACUUGUAACAGGUCUAGCUACUAAUCCUUUGGGCUCAUCAUAUUCCAGGUCAGGUGACAACUGCCUACAAAUAAGAUGGCUUGAUUCCCCUGGGACUCAGCAAGGAUGGUGUGGAUGGGGAUUUCUGGGGAAGAAAGUUGAGCAGAGCGGGAGGCCUGACUACGGGAUGCUUUGCAGAGCCUGAGAGCAGCCGGAGGAAUGCUCUGUCCAGCAGCUCAAGACAGCUGCUGCCUGGGGGGAGGGGCCACUCUGUCAGAGCGCAGGGUUUUACACAUCCUAAAAUCUUUACUUAUGGAUGUCAGGUCAAAGGGAAGGGAAAAAAACUCAACCAGACUUGAAAAGUUACCUGGUUCUGCUGUCGGCAAAUGGGCCGCAGCUGUUUUUGCCAUUACAAAAGCUGGUGCUUUUUUUUUUUUUUUUUUUUUAAGUAUGUUGUAGGAAAUAAAGAAUAUGAUCCUGGGGAAGCCCCAUGUAUACCACUGCCCACUUUGAUUAAAAUUUCAUUUUUCACUCUAUACAGAGGAUUUCAAUGGCAGGAAAAUGUUUCUCUUUGCUUUGCUUUUUUUUUUAAGUGCUAGAAGACAGGAACCCGUUUUAUUGCCAUUUUUUAUUCUUUAUACUUUGAUAUGUUAUACAUAUUAUUUAUUGCCCACUAAAUAGUUAAUACCAACAAUGAUAACUCCUCCUUGUUGGUGGAAGUCACUUCUGGGGUGUGAGAAAGGGCAUCUUACAGAUUGGGGAAUGAGACACGGGUUCUGACAAUCACCACAGUAUUCAUUACCAAUGACUAUUUUGUAACAUUUCCAAAGCACAAUGACACGAAGCUCUGCAGACCUGUGAUGACUGUAUCUGAGAAUUUCUUUCAAACAUCUCAUCCACUGGCUUGGAGCAAGUCCUCUAAGGAGCCAGCUCCAAGGAGCUGGGGCCAUUCUCGUGCCAGCGUCAGGACUCCUGGUCCAUGUAUCUGGCAGGAGUGAUGCACUCAGAGUAUGGUGCCUGUUCUGACCAGUCCGGUUCACCUGAUCCGAUGAAAGGUCAGCAGGACUAAGCUCUGCGCCAGGAUUCCAAGGAUUCCAAGUUCCCUUCCUCCGCCCCAGGCCAGUGACUUGUAAACGUGGAGGCUCUGCUAAGCACUGGGAUUUUAUUAAGGGCCUUGUUAAAAUUUACUAGAGUCAAAUAAAGAAAAGAUCCAGCCUUGGAAAUCAUUCUCCACCCAUGUCUCUCCUUCUCCCUGCUUCCCACCCCCACCCCUGAUCCUACUUAUUCAUCCAUUAAGCAACUAACUACUGAGUGAAUUCGGGAAAGUUACCCGUAUCACAUAGCUUUAGAAAUCACUUCAGAAAACGCCUUUAGGAAGGUAGGGUCACCUCUUUCCAUUUGUCUUACUCUGGCAGGUCUGGCGCCUAAGCCAACAGGCAGUGAAACACUAUGGUGAAGGAUAGAGAGAUACAAACUCUUAAAUCAGGCCUGAGUUAAAUCCUGGCCAUUGAAUUCGACUGGGAUGACUUUGGGCAAGUUACUUAACCUCUGUGAGUCUCACUUUCUGCAUCUAUAAAAUGAGACGAGUAUUAUGACCUACUGUGUCAAAUAUUGAGAGGGUUAAGGAAAGUAAUGCAUGUCCACUGCCUACCCCAGUGUUGAGCGCACAGCAGGUGCCAAAAAUGUGAGCUAUCAACAGGGGUCCCGUCCUCCCCCACACCCCCCCCCCCCCGCAAGGCUGCAUUGCUCCAUCUUGUGUUUAAGAGAAUUUUUGCCAGCUACAUGGGGAACUAAGGAGAGGAAAAGCCAUGUUCAUGCUGCUGGAUUCACAACUUGUCCCAUCCUUCUGUGAUGUCAUAAUUCGAGCAGCAGCCCACAAAUCUGAACACUAACCAGCCCUGUAACUGGUCCCCACCUCCCACACACUUUUCAUCACCCACUUGCACACAACAUCUGGGGCCUCUAUUUCCACCCUACUAUCCUGUGAGCUCACUGCCCAGAUUCCAUGUCCAGUGAUACUCAGAGAGCCGGUAUCCUCAGGAGGAUGCACUAUGGGGAAUCCAGGAAUACCUGCUAGAGACCAGGCAUGCAGGAAACCUGGACAUUUCUGUGGCAAAGAACCCAAGAGAUGCUGACACCAACUUUCUUCUUGACAGAGAGGGAAGCACACAGCUCUGGGGGCCUUCUAGAGUCACGGCCCUCGCUCACCAGGAGAUUAACCCGUCAGGCUGUCGAGUGAGAAGGGACGGAGCAGACCCUGACAGGAGGCCCGCAAUGCAGGGGAAAUCAAAACAAAUCCACCUGCUCAGGGAAGACUUUUUCGACACCUCGUCCCCCUACGGACAUCUGUGGCAAGUGUCAUCGCGACCACUGGUGUGGCACUGGAUCAUUUAUGACUGCCUCAUGACAUUAUUUUUCACUGUUGUCUUUGUAUUGUUGUUUGACGACUUUGUGUAAUGGUCUCUUCUCACUCCACAAAUAAACUGCAGCACCUGGCAGGCGGGGAGCAGCUUGA